rnacentral:rRNA from 1 species
UACGUAGGGGGCAAGCGUUGUCCGGAAUCAUUGGGCGUAAAGAGCGUGUAGGCGGCCAGAUAAGUCCGCUGUGAAAACUCGAGGCUCAACUUCGAGCUGUCGGCGGAAACUAUCUGGCUAGAGUCCGGAAGAGGAGAGUGGAAUUCCUGGUGUAGCGGUGAAAUGCGCAGAUAUCAGGAGGAACACCGGUGGCGAAGGCGGGUCUCUGGGCCGAUACUGACGCUGAGGAGCGAAAGCGUGGGGAGCGAACAGG